AGCAGACAAGACAAUCAUACCACCAGGGGGCAGUGUAACACUGACAUGCUCUGUGGAGAAUCCUGCUGGCCUCAAAUAUGACUGGUUCAGACAGACGUCAGACACUUCAGCAAAAACGCCUCUUCAGACUGAAAACCUUGAUGACUCACACACAGUUAUCACACAUGGAGGCAGAUACACCUGCAGAGGAUGGAGAAGGGAACCAGAAGUCCUCAUAGCUGAAAGUGAUCCAGUCACCAUUCAGGAAACUGUUUCCAACAGGGCCAGUUUGACCCUUCAACCCAACGGGCAUCAGAUAUUCAGUGGUGAGACGAUCACUCUAAGAUGUGAGAUCGAUGGAGGUAGAGACAGUCAUUGGACGUAUGAAUGGGAACCAACCAGCUCAAACACACAGUCUCCAACACACAGUGAAUACAGGAUUAUCAGUGCUACUGAGUCCCACAGUGGAGAAUACAGGUGUAAGGGUAGAAAGGACUCAUAUUCCUCAACAGAGUGGAGUGACUACAUCAGACUGACUGUAUCAUGUAAGUUGGACUGUCUUUCAUCCAUAAUGACAAUGUCAUGUUUUAAAUGGUUUUAUUUAAUAAUUAUAAUAAUAUAAUAAUAAUAUAAUUAAUACUAAUAAUUUAAUAAAAACAUUUAUCGCUCCAACAAUAAUAAAGUCUCCUAAUGUUAGCUCAGUAAAGUUUUUUUUUUUUGCAUGGGAACUGAAAAAGUAUUCUCUUGAAAUAUAAAUAUUCACAGAUAAAUAUACUCUAAUGAACAAAGAAUAAUAAAGUUACUUAUCGGGUAGAACAAUGGUGCAGUUAGCACUGUUCCCCAACACUAAGAAGGUUCUAUUACAAACCUAACUUUAAUGCAACUGCUUGAGUUAACUCACUGGUUUGGUUGAUCAACUGUUAGUAAGAUUAUUUGCCUAACUGGCUAAUCUACAUUGCCUGUAGGUGUUAGUGUUCAUGGUUGUUUGUGUAAUGUAUUAACCCUUUGAUAGACUGACAACCUGCAGGGUGUAACCUUGCUCUCACCCAGCAUGAGCUGGGAUAGGAUCCAGCUCCCUAAGACCCUGCAAAGAAUGAGUGGGUACAUAUAAAGGAUAAAUAGAAGGUAUAUUAAAAAAAAAGCUUAGAUUUUCUACACUUGAACAAAGGUUUUUGCCUUCACAAAUGUCACAUUCAGUAGCAGCAAAUUAUUAUACAACUAACAUUUUAUAUAUUCAUUUUAUUUUGUAAAUACAUAGAAUUUCUAGGUUUGUGCAAAACAGGACUUGAGAAAGAGUAUGAAAGAUAUAGCAGCACAUUGCUUUGCUUGGCCUAGGAGGAACGUGAGCACACAAUAAAAAUGAAUCCUCUCUUUCCCCACUCCCAAGGAUAACCAGUGCUACAGCAGAUGCAGUCCAAACAGAAUUGAUUUAUGAAUAUAAUCAGGAUAGAACAGGCGUUGGGGAGAGCACGGCCAAAACAAUAAACAUAACAAUGUAUCAUUUUACAGACUAACUUACCUAAUUCACAAAAGAAAACAAAAGACAGACAUCUUACCUCCCC
rnacentral:lncRNA from 15 species